rnacentral:rRNA from 1 species
UUACGCUGUUAUCCCUAAGGUAAUUUAGUCUUAUAAUCAACAAAAAUGGAUCAAAUAUAUAUAAAUAAAUAUAAAAAAAUAAAAAGAGUUAAUUAAAUCUUUCCAUCACCCCAACAAAAUAAAUUUUCAAAUUAAAAAAAAUAUCAUACAAAAAAAUAAAAAUAUAUAUAAACUCUAUAGGGUCUUCUCGUCCCAAAAAAAUAUUUAGGCAUUUUAACCUAAAAUUUAAAUUCAAUAAAUAAAUUAAAGACAGUUUACACCUCGUCAAACCAUUCAUUCCAGCCUACAAUUAAAAGACUAAUGAUUAUGCUACCUUUGCACGGUCAAAAUACCGCGGCCCUUCAAUAUUCAGUGGGCAGGCCAUACAUCAAAAUAUAUUCAAGAAGAGAUGUUUUUGAUAAACAGGCG